rnacentral:rRNA from 1 species
GAUGAACGCUGGCGGCGUGCUUAACACAUGCAAGUCGAACGAUGAAGCCCAGCUUGCUGGGUGGAUUAGUGGCGAACGGGUGAGUAACACGUGAGUAACCUGCCCUUGACUCUGGGAUAAGCCCGGGAAACUGGGUCUAAUACCGGAUAUGAGCGCCUGUCGCAUGACGGGUGUUGGAAAGAUUUUUCGGUCAUGGAUGGACUCGCGGCCUAUCAGCUUGUUGGUGAGGUAAUGGCUCACCAAGGCGACGACGGGUAGCCGGCCUGAGAGGGUGACCGGCCACACGGGGACUGAGACACGGCCCAGACUCCUACGGGAGGCAGCAGUGGGGAAUAUUGCACAAUGGGCAGAAGCCUGAUGCAGCGACGCCGCGUGAGGGAUGACGGCCUUCGGGUUGUAAACCUCUUUCAGUAGGGAAGAAGCGAAAGUGACGGUACCUGCAGAAGAAGCACCGGCUAACUACG